CCAACGGCCCUCUUUAGGGCCACAUUUGAAUGAAAAAAACGAAUCG
rfam:Nippostrongylus brasiliensis genome assembly, scaffold: NBR_scaffold0002523